CCUACGGGAGGCAGCAGUGGGGAAUUUUGCACAAUGCUCGUAAGCGUGACGCAGCCACGCCGCGUGUAUGACGAAGGCCUUCGGGUCGUAAAGUUCUUUCAACCGGGAGGAAGGUGCAUAUGAGUAACAGUGUAUGUAUUGACGGUACCUGUAUAAGCAGCCCCGGCUAACUCCGUGCCAGCAGCCGCGGUAAUACGGAGGGUGCGAGCGUUGGUCGGAUUUACUGGGCGUAAAGAGCACGUAGGCGGUGUAGUGAGUCAGUAGUCAAAGACUAGAGCUCAACCCGGGAAAGGCAUGUGAUACUAGAAAACUAGAGUCUUAUAGAGGAGGGUAGAAUUCCAGGUGUAGCGGUGAAAUGCGUAGAGAUGAGGAGGAAUACCGGUAGCGAAGGCGGCCACCUGG
rnacentral:rRNA from 1 species